rnacentral:misc_RNA from 1 species
UUGUGGAGGAGGACGCCGAAGGUGGGGCUAAUGACUGGGGUGAAGUCGUAACAAGGUAGCCGUACCGGAAGGUGCGGCUGGAUCACCUCCUAACAGGGAGACAACAAAAUGUUAAAUAUUAAUUUUGUCACCUUAGGUCGAUCGGUAUCUCACAUUCUUAAUUUAUUAAGAAUUUUAUUUCCUAAGUUUUUUCUAGGUCACACCCAUUACUUUUUCCUGGGCCAUUAGCUCAGGUGGUUAGAGCGCACCCCUGAUAAGGGUGAGGUCCCUGGUUCAAGUCCAGGAUGGCCCAUAUCUCUAUGUUGGGGGUAUAGCUCAGUUGGUAGAGCGCCUGCUUUGCAAGCAGGAUGUCAGCGGUUCGAGUCCGCUUACCUCCACUGAUCACCACCUCUUCCAUAAUUUAUAGAAGGGAAAUGUUUUGAGUUGUGAUCAAAUUCUGAACGAAUCUAGCUUCCUAAUAAAACUUAUUAAGAUGCUGGACUCAUUGAAUUAAUUUCAUUGUUUUCAGAGAACCUUGACAACUGCAUAGAUUAUUUUUAAAGACAAUAAGCAUCUUUAAUGAUGCAGAUUUAUUAUUUGUGCGAAUGCAUUAAUAACAAUUCUAUUAAGCUGAUGCUUCAAUUUUUGAAGUUAUUGGUCAAGCUACAA